rnacentral:rRNA from 1 species
CCUACGGGUUGCAGCAGUGAGGAAUUUUGCGCAAUGGGGGAAACCCUGACGCAGCAACGCCGCGUGAGUGAUGAAGGCUUUCGGGUCGUAAAGCUCUGUCAAGUGGGAAGAACCUAUACAGUGUUAAUACCACUGUGUACUGACGGUACUACUGAAGGAAGCACCGGCUAACUCCGUGCCAGCAGCCGCGGUAAUACGGGGGGUGCAAGCGUUAUUCGGAAUCAUUGGGCGUAAAGAGCACGUAGGCGGCCUGGUAAGUCAGAUGUGAAAGCCCGGGGCUUAACCCCGGAAGGGCAUUUGA